UACGGGGGGGGCAAGCGUUGUUCGGAAUUACUGGGCGUAAAGGGCUCGUAGGCGGCCAACUAAGUCAUACGUGAAAUCCCUCGGCUUAACCGGGGAACUGCGUCUGAUACUGGAUGGCUCGAAUCCGGGAGAGGGAUGUGGAAUUCCAGGUGUAGCGGUGAAAUGCGUAGAUAUCUGGAGGAACACCGGUGGCGAAGGCGGCAUCCUGGACCGGCAUUGACGCUGAGGCGCGAAAGCCAGGGGAGCAAACGGG
rnacentral:rRNA from 1 species